rnacentral:rRNA from 1 species
AUGGUUCCAGAUUGGGCACUGGUCGCCGUCGUGCGAGAGCAGGGCAGCGGGGUCUUCGCGGAGGAGUGGAGGGGGAGGAUGCGGACGACAGGGCGAAGGAGGUGGCUGGCGAGGAGGACAAGCAGCAGGGGGGAGGAGAAGGGUGACGCCUCGCACACCGUCUCCUCCCCGCGGCGGUUGGCCGGUCGACUCGUCGCGCCACCGCGUCCUCACCUCCUCUGCGCCAUGAGAGGCGCCGCCUCUGCUUCCACCCCCGCUUCCUGCUUCCUUCCUCCUUGGCACCACAGCUGCCGCUCUACUCCCUCCCUUGUCAGCCACCGGCUCACGAACCUCCCUCGUUUGGGCCAGGGCAGAAGGCCAUGGCGAAUCUUGCGCCUCUAG